rnacentral:lncRNA from 1 species
GUUGAAGAAGAAGAAGAAAGAAAGGAGGAAGCUUUCAUGUAUGAUGACCAGGCUUGGAUGCCUUCCUUGAAAGAAAUCCAUCCAGCUUGGCUUCUGGUCUUUAGACUCAGUGCCCUUUCAGUCCUCUUGCUUCUCCUUAUUGUUUCUGUUCUUGUUGGUGGAUCCACUGUUUUUUACUACUAUACCCAGUUAGUACUUAGUAACCUCUCUAAUCCUCAGUUUCCCUUCUUCAAUGAAACUAAACUCCUUUCUUCUUGUUUGACUAAUGUUG